CCUUGUCACCCCCUUGAUUACCUGAUUGAGUUCACCUGGUCACUGCACUUCCUCUCAGUCACUCUCUCACCUUCACAUGAGGCCGCAAGCUGAUUCACCAGCCCAUGUGUGUUUUGUUGACAUUUGCACCACCAUUUUGAGUGGAAUGACAUUUCCUUGCCUUCUAAUCAAUGUCCCAUCAUGAUAGUACUCACAUGAUACAUGACUGGCUUCACUUCCCCCUCCCCCCUCCCCGGCAACGUCAUGCCCCUGGACACUAUUGGAUAACCUUUCCCCCUGAAUCUCAGUAUCUGCCGGAUUUCCCAAGACCCCUCGGUCUGUUCCCUUGGACCUGGAUCUCUCCCUGAACUCUGCCCCUAGCACA